UGUGAGUCAUUGCAGUAAUGCAAGGCAGACGGCUCAGUAACACGUAGUCAACCUACCCUAUAGACGGGGAUAACCUCGGGAAACUGAGGAUAAACCCCGAUAGAUCAUUAUGCCUGGAACGGUUUAUGGUCCAAAUGAUCCGUCGCUAUAGGAUGGGACUGCGGCCUAUCAGCUUGUUGGUGAGGUAAUGGCCCACCAAGGCUAUUACAGGUACGGGCUCUGAGAGGAGAAGCCCGGAGAUGGGUACUGAGACACGGACCCAGGUCCUAUGGGGCGCAGCAGGCGAGAAAACUUUGCAAUGUGCGCAAGCACGACAAGGUUAAUCCGAGUGAUUCCUGCUAAAGGAAUCUUUUGUUAGUUGUAAAACCACUGAUGAAUAAGGGGUGGGCAAGUUCUGGUGUCAGCCGCCGCGGUAAAACCAGCACCUCAAGUGGUCAGGAGGAUUAUUGGGCCUAAAGCAUCCGUAGCCUGCUCUGUAAGUUUUCGGUUAAAUCCAUCAGCUCAACUGAUGGGCCGCCGAAAAAACUGCAAAGCUAGGGAGUGGGAGAGGUAGACGGUACUCGAUAGGAAGGGGUAAAAUCCUUUGAUCUAUUGAUGACCCCCUGUGGCGAAGGCGGUCUACCAGAACACGUUCGACGGUGAGGGAUGAAAGCUGGGGGAGCAAACCGGAUUAGAUACCCGGGUAGUCCCAGCUGUAAACGAUGCAGACUCGGUGAUGCCCUGGCUUGUGGCCAGUGC
rnacentral:rRNA from 1 species